rnacentral:miRNA from 1 species
AGGACUUAACACGCAUGUGAACA